CCGAACCGACUAAUGUUGAAAAAUUAGCGGAUGACCUGUGGCUGGGGGUGAAAGGCCAAUCAAACCGGGAGAUAGCUGGUUCUCCCCGAAAGCUAUUUAGGUAGCGCCUCGUGAAUUCAUCUCCGGGGGUAGAGCACUGUUUCGGCUAGGGGGCCAUCCCGGCUUACCAACCCGAUGCAAACUGCGAAUACCGGAGAAUGUUAUCACGGGAGACACACGGCGGGUGCUAACGUCCGUCGUGAAGAGGGAAACAACCCAGACCGCCAGCUAAGGUCCCAAAGUCAUGGUUAAGUGGGAAACGAUGUGGGAAGGCCCAGACAGCCAGGAUGUUGGCUUAGAAGCAGCCAUCAUUUAAAGAAAGCGUAAUAGCUCACUGGUCGAGUCGGCCUGCGCGGAAGAUGUAACGGGGCUAAACCAUG
rnacentral:rRNA from 5 species